rnacentral:rRNA from 1 species
GAUGAACGCUGGCGGCGUGCCUAAUACAUGCAAGUCGAGCGAACAGAUGAGGAGCUUGCUCCUCUGACGUUAGCGGCGGACGGGUGAGUAACACGUGGAUAACCUACCUAUAAGACUGGGAUAACUUCGGGAAACCGGAGCUAAUACCGGAUAAUAUAUUGAACCGCAUGGUUCAAUAGUGAAAGACGGUUUUGCUGUCACUUAUAGAUGGAUCCGCGCCGCAUUAGCUAGUUGGUAAGGUAACGGCUUACCAAGGCAACGAUGCGUAGCCGACCUGAGAGGGUGAUCGGCCACACUGGAACUGAGACACGGUCCAGACUCCUACGGGAGGCAGCAGUAGGGAAUCUUCCGCAAUGGGCGAAAGCCUGACGGAGCAACGCCGCGUGAGUGACGAAGGUCUUCGGAUCGUAAAACUCUGUUAUUAGGGAAGAACAAAUGUGUAAGUAACUAUGCACGUCUUGACGGUACCUAAUCAGAAAGCCACGGCUAACUACGUG